AUUGUUCCAUUUGCAAUUGAAACAAUAAUAACGUAUUUAAAACUGCUCUUCACAAAUAAUUAUUUAGAACAAAAUAAUGUAUUUCACAAAACUAUUUUUCAUUGUGGUUAUUGCCAUUAUUUUGUUUUUGAACUUCACGGAAGCUGGACAAGCUGCCGCGAAAAUUGGUAAAGAAGCGGGCAAAGUAGCUGGUGGAGCUUUAAAAAAAGGUUCUAAGACUGGUGCAAAAGUUGUUGGGGGCGGUGCCCUUGUCAAUUCAACUGUGAAUGUCAAUAUUGAUAAUAAGCCAAGAAGUCGAUCAAAUUCUCCCAGCGGAAGUAAAUCGAAAAAUGGUUGAUUUUAAUUAAAUUUUAUAGAAUGUACAAUAAUAAAUUGUAAAUAAAAUGAUUAUAUCGGAAAAAAAA